rfam:Beta vulgaris subsp. vulgaris Bvchr8.sca001.con0026.1, whole genome shotgun sequence.
AUGAGAAAUCACAGGGCAAGUCUCCCUUGGCAAAAAGAGAAAUCUUCGUAUGCAUUUUACAUACAUGAUCAAUCUUUUUUGCCAAACGAGACUCGCCCUGCAAUUCAACA